CCUACGGGGGGCAGCAGUGGGGAAUAUUGCACAAUGGGCGAAAGCCUGAUGCAGCGACGCCGCGUGAGCGAAGAAGUAUUUCGGUAUGUAAAGCUCUAUCAGCAGGGAAGAAAAUGACGGUACCUGACUAAGAAGCCCCGGCUAACUACGUGCCAGCAGCCGCGGUAAUACGUAGGGGGCAAGCGUUAUCCGGAUUUACUGGGUGUAAAGGGAGCGUAGGCGGCAAGGCAAGUCUGAUGUGAAAACCCGGGGCUCAACCCCGGGACUGCAUUGGA
rnacentral:rRNA from 1 species